GACGUAGGGCGCGAGCGUUGUCCGGAUUUAUUGGGCGUAAAGAGCUCGUAGGCGGCUUGUUACGUCGACUGUGAAAACCCACGGCUCAACCGUGUGGUCUGCAGUCGAUACGGGCAGGCUAGAAUUCGGUAGGGGAGCCUGGAAUUCCUGGUGUAGCGGUGAAAUGCGCAGAUAUCAGGAGGAACACCGGUGGCGAAGGCGGGUCUCUGGGCCGAUAUUGACGCUGAGGAGCGAAAGCGUGGGGAGCGAACAGG
rnacentral:rRNA from 1 species